rnacentral:rRNA from 1 species
UAGGGAAUCUUCGGCAAUGGGGGCAACCCUGACCGAGCAACGCCGCGUGAGUGAAGAAGGUUUUCGGAUCGUAAAGCUCUGUUGUAAGAGAAGAACGUGUGUGAGAGUGGAAAGUUCACACAGUGACGGUAACUUACCAGAAAGGGACGGCUAACUACGUGCCAGCAGCCGCGGUAAUACGUAGGUCCCGAGCGUUGUCCGGAUUUAUUGGGCGUAAAGCGAGCGCAGGCGGUUUAAUAAGUCUGAAGUUACAGGCAGUGGCUUAACCAUUGUUCGCUUUGGAAACUGUUAAACUUGAGUGCAGAAGGGGAGAGUGGAAUUCCAUGUGUAGAGGUGAAAUGCGUAGAUAUAUUGAGGAACACCGGUGGCGAAAGCGGCUCUCUGGUCUGUAACUGACGCUGAGGCUCGAAAGCGUGGGGAGCAAACAGG